AUACUGUCCCUUUAAGUCUUGGUUUGCUGUGCAUUUUUCAUGUCUGUUGCACCCUGUAUGUUGACUAAUACCUACUCUUGUGAAUCACUGACAUGGAUGAGAAAGCUAAAUUUAGUAUCCUUUGGAUGGUUGCUCCGAUCUCCUUGAUGACAGUUAAGGUCCGGUAGACUCUCCGAAGUUUAAGGUCAGAUUCAAAGUAUUCAAACUAGAAGUUUGCAUACAUACCUGACAAAUCCCAAUACUGGUCGCCAUGGUGUAGC